GACGAACGCUGGCGGCGUGCUUAACACAUGCAAGUCGAACGGAAAGGCCCUGCUUUUGUGGGGUGCUCGAGUGGCGAACGGGUGAGUAACACGUGAGUAACCUGCCCUUGACUUUGGGAUAACUUCAGGAAACUGGGGCUAAUACCGGAUAGGAGCUCCUGCUGCAUGGUGGGGGUUGGAAAGUUUCGGCGGUUGGGGAUGGACUCGCGGCUUAUCAGCUUGUUGGUGGGGUAGUGGCUUACCAAGGCUUUGACGGGUAGCCGGCCUGAGAGGGUGACCGGCCACAUUGGGACUGAGAUACGGCCCAGACUCCUACGGGAGGCAGCAGUGGGGAAUAUUGCACAAUGGGCGGAAGCCUGAUGCAGCAACGCCGCGUGCGGGAUGACGGCCUUCGGGUUGUAAACCGCUUUCGCCUGUGACGAAGCGUGAGUGACGGUAAUGGGUAAAGAAGCACCGGCUAACUACGUGCCAGCAGCCGCGGUGAUACGUAGGGUGCGAGCGUUGUCCGGAUUUAUUGGGCGUAAAGGGCUCGUAGGUGGUUGAUCGCGUCGGAAGUGUAAUCUUGGGGCUUAACCCUGAGCGUGCUUUCGAUACGGGUUGACUUGAGGAAGGUAGGGGAGAAUGGAAUUCCUGGUGGAGCGGUGGAAUGCGCAGAUAUCAGGAGGAACACCAGUGGCGAAGGCGGUUCUCUGGGCCUUUCCUGACGCUGAGGAGCGAAAGCGUGGGGAGCGAACAGGCUUAGAUACCCCUGGUAGUCCACGCUGUAAACGGUGGGUACUAGGUGUGGGGUCCAUUCCACGGGUUCCGUGCCGUAGCUAACGCUUUAAGUACCCCGCCUGGGGAGUACGGCCGCAAGGCUAAAACUCAAAGGAAUUGACGGGGCCCCGCACAAGCGGCGGAGCAUGCGGAUUAAUUCGAUGCAACGCGUAGAACCUUACCUGGGUUUGACAUGGAUCGGGAGUGCUCAGAGAUGGGUGUGCCUCUUUUGGGGUCGGUUCACAGGUGGUGCAUGGCUGUCGUCAGCUCGUGUCGUGAGAUGUUGGGUUAAGUCCCGCAACGAGCGCAACCCUUGUUCACUGUUGCCAGCACGUUAUGGUGGGGACUCAGUGGAGACCGCCGGGGUCAACUCGGAGGAAGGUGGGGAUGACGUCAAGUCAUCAUGCCCCUUAUGUCCAGGGCUUCACGCAUGCUACAAUGGCUGGUACAGAGAGUGGCGAGCCUGUGAGGGUGAGCGAAUCUCGGAAAGCCGGUCUCAGUUCGGAUUGGGGUCUGCAACUCGACCUCAUGAAGUCGGAGUCGCUAGUAAUCGCAGAUCAGCAACGCCGCGGUGAAUACGUUCCCGGGGCUUGUACACACCGCCCGUCAAGUCAUGAAAGUUGGUAACACCCGAAGCCGGUGGCCUAACCGUUGUGGGGGAGCCGUCGAAGGU
rnacentral:rRNA from 1 species